rnacentral:rRNA from 1 species
UACGAGUGCCUCAAGCGUUAUCCGGAAUUAUUGGGCGUAAAGGGUGUGUAGGCGGUUCUGUUAGUCUUCUGUUAAAUUCUUCGGCUCAACCGGGGACCUGCGGAGGAAACGGCAGAACUUGAGGAUGGGAGAGGUGAAUGGAACUCAUGGUGUAGGGGUGAAAUCCGUUGAUAUCAUGGGGAACACCAAAAGCGAAGGCAAUUCACUGGCCCACUCCUGACGCUGAAACACGAAAGCGUGGGUAGCGAAUGGG